rnacentral:rRNA from 1 species
GAUGAACGCUGGCGGCGUGCCUAAUACAUGCAAGUAGAACGCUGAAGGAGGAGCUUGCUCUUCUGGAUGAGUUGCGAACGGGUGAGUAACGCGUAGGUAACCUGCCUGGUAGCGGGGGAUAACUAUUGGAAACGAUAGCUAAUACCGCAUGACAACAGUUAUUGCAUGAUAACUGUUUAAAAGGGGCAACUGCUCCACUACCAGAUGGACCUGCGUUGUAUUAGCUAGUUGGUGAGGUAACGGCUCACCAAGGCGACGAUACAUAGCCGACCUGAGAGGGGGAUCGGCCACACUGGGACUGUGACCCGGCCCAGUCUCCUACGGGUGGCGGCAGUAGGGCAUCUUCGGCAAGGGACGGAAGUCUGACCGAGCAGCGCCGCGUGAGUGAAGAAGGUUUUCGGAUCGUAAAGCUCUGUUGUAAGGGAAGAACGAGUGUGAGAGUGGAAAGUUCACACUGUGACGGUAUCUUACCAGAAAGGGCCGGCUAACUACGUG